GAUGAACGCUGGCGGCGUGCCUAAUACAUGCAAGUCGAGCGAACGGACGAGAAGCUUGCUUCUCUGAUGUUAGCGGCGGACGGGUGAGUAACACGUGGAUAACCUACCUAUAAGACUGGGAUAACUUCGGGAAACCGGAGCUAAUACCGGAUGAUAUUUUGAACCGCAUGGUUCAAAAGUGAAAGACGGUCUUGCUGUCACUUAUAGAUGGAUCCGCGCUGCAUUAGCUAGUUGGUAAGGUAACGGCUUACAAAGGCAACGAGGCAUAGCCGACCUGAGAGGGUGAUCGGCCACACUGGAACUGAGACACGGUCCAGACUCCUACGGGAGGCAGCAGUAGGGAAUCUUCCGCAAUGGGCGAAAGCCUGACGGAGCAACGCCGCGUGAGUGAUGAAGGUCUUCGGAUCGUAAAACUCUGUUAUUAGGGAAGAACAUAUGUGUAAGUAACUGUGCACAUCUUGACGGUACCUAAUCAGAAAGCCACGGCUAACUACGUG
rnacentral:rRNA from 1 species